GUACGGGGGGGGCAAGCGUUGUUCGGAAUUACUGGGCGUAAAGAGCUCGUAGGUGGCGUGUCGCGUCUGCCCGUGAAAGCCCAUGGCUUAACUGUGGGUCUGCGGUGGGAUACGGGCAGGCUAGAGGCGUGGUAGGGGCAAGCGGAAUUCCUGGGUGUAGCGGUGAAAUGCGCAGAUAUCAGGAAGAACACCAAUGGCGAAAGCAGCUCUCUGGGACGGUACUGACGCUGAGACGCGAAAGCGUGGGGAGCGAACAGG
rnacentral:rRNA from 1 species